GUUUAAAUAGUUUAUAAUAAAAUAUUAGUUUGUGAGGCUUAAGAUGUAAAAUUUUUUACUUUAAACA
rnacentral:tRNA from 1 species